GGGCGGAUACGUACGAAAGUGAGAUCAAUCCAGAUAGAUAUAAAGGUCCCGUAUUAGCGGCCAUUGAAUGCUAUGAUGUUAUACCAGAAGAAAAAAGAGCGAGUGCCUUGGUACUCGAUGUGGCUGCUGGAACAGGAUUCCUCGGCAAAGAGAUACCUAUGACAUUGUGGUAUCAUCUGGAGGAAUGGGUCAAGGUCACAUUCCGGCAGGAGCAUUAUUGGAAAUGUUAAGACUCACCCGAAAAGGUGGGUACAUUAUCUUGUCAAUGAGAGAAGAAUACUUGAGAGAUCCAGAAUAUGACGGUGUAUUGGAAGUCUUGAUUGAAAGUAUGGAGAAAAAGGGAAAAUGGAUUAUAAUAAAGAAAAGCGUGAUUCCUAAUUAUUAUGUAGAAAAAGAGGGAAUUGUUUUUGUGUUUAAGAAAACAUAACUUGUACAAGGAAACUUUUCCUAAUUUUGUUUGAUAUGUAAUUAUAUGAUAAAAGUGUAAACUGUAAAUAAUUUGUUGAUAUUGAGCAGUCUCAUUUGGUUGGGAAGAUCACUACAAAUUCAACUUGCAAUCAGAGUAAUUCUUUUUUGUUCAGCAAUUGGAAAGCUACAACG